UUAUUUAUUUAAUAGGAUUGAGUAUAUUUUAAAAAGAAUAUUAUUCAUGAAAAAUGGCAAAAUAUAGGAUUCGUAUGAUGUAAAUCACCGUUCCUGAAUGGAAUGCUAAAAGCCUGGAAUUUUCUGCCGCUAGGUGGCAGAUGGAUAGCUCAUUCAGUUGUAUCUAAUUUUCAACCAACAUGGUCUCCACGUACGUACGGAGAGGUCCGUACCAGAAAACGGCACCAUUUCCAGGGUUUUUAUUGGCUCAGUGGGAUGGUCACGUGACCAUCCUUUCAAGCCACGCAGUGGUGGAUAGGCCCCGAAAUUUCAGCAGCCGCCGUCGCAUUUGAAUCGGCAAUUGUUUUUUUUUCCUCGUUUGUUGUCAUUUUCGUUUUUAAUGGCGGCCUGCUGUCAUUUAAAAUGAAUAAAUAUAUUACUUUUAGAAAAGGGCCGACCUCUCGUGAAGAGAACGAUGGAAUUUAUAGAUUCGGCUGGGAAACUUGUCGAGAAAGCUUUUUUGCUUUUUUAGAUAAACUGACACGAGAGUUUGGUACCUUCUCAAACAGGCAUAAUUUCAAUCUAAUUAAUUGUAUCUGAGAUUUUUUUACCAGAUUUUUUUACUAACAGGGUUUGUACAACUUCAAUCUGGAUAAAAGUAGAUUGAAUUCUAAUAGAUUGAACUCCUUCUAUAUUUACUGCAGGAGCCCUCACUUUUUGCCGUAGCAAAACUGUUGGCAACUGGUCUUGUAAAUCUGAACAGGGUAGAAGUUCUUUAGCAUCCUGUAACAAAUCACCUGCUGGAAGUCAUCAUCCACACCCAUACUGCCCUCUUCGCUUUAUUGUUUUCGAUGAGUGACAAAACAGAGAAAAAGAAUGCUGCGUGAAUGGAUUCUGUCACUGUCCAUGGUAUAGGCUGUUGUAUUCUCGUAAUAUAAUUGAGGUGUUAAUCGAACUGACCCCAUGGGAAUCUUUCAACCCCUAAUGGAUUCUUAAAAGGUUCGUCGUUUGCUCGUAAGCCAGUUUGAAUGGCAGGUGAAGGCCAGUGUCAAAAAAAAAUAAUCGACUAACUUUUCGUUUUUAUGGCAUAGCAGUCUUGGUCCUGGUCUUGGUCUUGGUUGGUUUUUUUAUCAGAUAACGGAAAUCCUCAGAUUAAUUAUUUAUUACCUCCAUUGGCUGCUGCCAUCGAGGAUGCGUUCGUCAGAUUGGCUGGUGAUGGUGAUAUCAGCGUAUUUGUUAUCCUUGUUGUAGCUGGGAGUAGAGUAAGCUGGUGCAGGUUAGCUAGUAGUAGGGUACUUUGGUGCAGGGAAGUUUGGGGUAGUAGUGAUAUAUCAAAUCUAUAAAUAUCUAUAAAUAUCUCAACCCCUGUAUAUGCUGUACAUGCAAAGUAACAUGUGCAAAUUCGAGCGCGUGUCCGUCCUGGUGUCGAAGACGUUUCAUCAUUUUUAUGUAUAGCUCGGGACAAAGAUCGGCAUUAACUCACGAUUUCUUCAUGUUGAUUUAUUCAUAUCAGCUCCUCGCGUAUUUCAUUCUUUUUUCAUAUUUGAAUUGGUUAAACAUAGCGGUAAUCUCCUCCUAUAAACCACUUUAAACGUUUAGCAUUAAUUGAUGUUUUAAAGUUGAUUUUUUUGGGCGUUAUUGGCUAACAUCGUUUUCUUUUGUUGUUGUGGCUCUCCCGCAUCUAUUCGGCCGAUCCAAACUAAUACACAACGCCAGUUUUAUUUCGAAAGUGACGAGACCGAUGUGCCUUGUGCCACAUUUCACUCAACUUUUCUUUCUGGUUUUUCCAGCUGCGAUAACUAUAUAAUAGAGUCUGUGAUUACUUAAUGCGUCCGCGUUCUAUAUACCACAGCCGUUGGGCCGGUAUUCGUCCAGCUCAACAUCCAUUUCAAUUACAGCCAACAGGUGUGCGCCAUUAUCGAUUUUUCAUUAUACACUUCAUUAACAGAUUUAUUUGUGUUUCUAUACACGCUCCAAGUUGGGUUAACCUAAAUAAAAAAUGUCAUCGUA
rnacentral:lncRNA from 1 species